AGCGUAUAUUAAAGUUGUUGCAGUUAAAAAGCUCGUAGUUGAAUUUCGGGGUUAGUAGGUUGGUCAUGCCUCUGGUAUGUACUGGUCUCACUGAUUCCUCCCUCUUGACGAACUGUAAUGUCAUUAAUUUGGUGUUGCAGGAAAUCAGGACUGUUACUUUGAAAAAAUUAGAGUGUUUAAAGCAGGCUAAGGCUUGAAUACAUUAGCAUGGAAUAAUGAAAUAGGACGUUUGAACCUAUUUUGUUGGUUUCUAGGAUCGACGUAAUGAUUAAUAGGGAUGGUUGGGGGCAUUAGUAUUCAAUUGUCAGAGGUGAAAUUCUUGGAUUUAUUGAAGACUAACUACUGCGAAAGCAUUAGCCAAGGAUGUUUUCAUUAAUCAAGAACGAAAGUUAGGGGAUCGAAGACGAUCAGAUACCGUCGUAGUCUUAACCAUAAACUAUGCCGACUAGGGAUCGGAUGAUGUUAAUUUUUUAAUGACUCAUUC
rnacentral:rRNA from 1 species